rnacentral:rRNA from 1 species
AUUGAACGCUGGCGGCAGGCUUAACACAUGCAAGUCGAGCGGGGUGAUGGUGCUUGCACUAUCACUUAGCGGCGGACGGGUGAGUAAUGCUUAGGAAUCUGCCUAUUAGUGGGGGACAACAUCUCGAAAGGGAUGCUAAUACCGCAUACGUCCUACGGGAGAAAGCAGGGGAUCACUUGUGACCUUGCGCUAAUAGAUGAGCCUAAGUCGGAUUAGCUAGUUGGUGGGGUAAAGGCCUACCAAGGCGACGAUCUGUAGCGGGUCUGAGAGGAUGAUCCGCCACACUGGGACUGGGACACGGCCCAGACGCCUACGGGAGGCAGCAGUGGGGAAUAUGGGACAAUGGGGGGAACCCUGAUCCAGCCAUGCCGCGUGUGUGAAGAAGGCCUUAUGGUUGUAAAGCACUUUAAGCGAGGAGGAGGCUCUUUUGGUUAAUACCCAAGAUGAGUGGACGUUACUCGCAGAAUAAGCACCGGCUAACUCUGUGCCAGCCGCCGCAGUAA